rnacentral:rRNA from 1 species
CUACGGGCGGCUCCAGUGGGGAAUAUUGCACAAUGGGCGCAAGCCUGAUGCAGCCAUGCCGCGUGUAUGAAGAAGGCCUUCGGGUUGUAAAGUACUUUCAGCGGGGAGGAAGGGAGUAAAGUUAAUACCUUUGCUCAUUGACGUUACCCGCAGAAGAAGCACCGGCUAACUCCGUGCCAGCAGCCGCGGUAAUACGGAGGGUGCAAGCGUUAAUCGGAAUUACUGGGCGUAGAGCGCACGCAGGCGGUGUGUUAAGUCAGAUGUGAAAGCCCCGGGCGCAACCUGGGAACUGCAUCUGAUACUGGCAAGCUUGAGUCUCGUAGAUGGGGGUAGAAUUCCAGGUGUAGCGGUGAAAUGCGUAGAGAUCUGGAGGAAUACCGGUGGCGAAGGCGGCCCCCUGGACGAAGACUGACGCUCAGGUGCGAAAGCGUGGGGAGCAAACAGGAUUAGAUACCCGCGUAGUC